AGUACGGACUGAGGUUGAACACAACGAAGACUGAGUACUCAGAAGCCAGCCCCCAAACCGAUGGCACCAUCAGCGUCGAUGGAGAAGACCUGGCAAAGGUUGCAGUGAAACGUCAGCAGCUUUCUAGCCAGUGACGUCUGCAGCAAGGUCACAAAGCCCCUGUGCGCUCCAGUCAUACUUGGUGCCCCAUCAGUAGCCACUGACUCUAGUCUCAAUAAAUGCCUGGUGUUUCGCCCGGUACACCGGCUUCUUUUUCCUGGACCUUCUUUGCCCUUGCCUUCAACCUCAGCUCUCCUCAGAUGAUCUUUGCAUUCUGGAACAAUACAAAGAACCUCACCUGCCUGCCCUCCAGCCACCACUCACCACCUCGGACACAGCGGAACUCCGGUCAGCCAACCUUUGCCCCUACUCACCUGGAUUCUCACCACCUCUCUCUCGAAGCCAAGUUCACCUUGACUAUCAGUAACCAUUAUCAGUCAUAACCACCUCCACUAAAUAGCCUGUGCCUGCCGCCUUCUUAACCGUGUUCUCUUUUCUUCCCUGACAAAUCCGCUCCAUCCCCCUCAAUACCUACCAAUUCCCUGUUCACCCCACUGAUCCAAGGCCACAUCAUUAGCAACACUUUUUACAGUUUUACAGUUCUCUGCGUUUGAGUCCAG